AUCCGGAUAUUGGCCGGUGAAAAUCGUCGGGCGGCUGGGCACGCA
rnacentral:sRNA from 20 species